UUUCCGUAGGUGAACCUGUGGAAGGAUCAUUAAAAAAUUGGACUCCAUUGGUGAGUUCAUUAAUAAUCCCUACCCUUUGUGAAUUUGUUUGUUUGAAUAAUUUUUUUUCCAAAAAAAAUUAUUGAAUGUCUUUCCUUGUUUUGGUGGAGCUUGUAAAGUGAAACCAGGCAGGGGAAUGGCAAACAAUAAUUAUUUUUGAAAAAGACCUUUUUUUAAAAUUAAACUUUUUGUAUUCAUUUGUCUAAAAUUAAUUUUUAUAAUAUAAAAACAACUUUUGACAAUGGAUCUCUUGGUUCUCGCAACGAUGAAGAACGCAGCAAAAUGCGAUAAGUAGUGUGAAUUGCAGAAUACGUGAAUCAUCGAAUCUUCGAACGCAUAUUGCACUUUUUUAGUUUACUAAAAAAGUAUGUCUGUUUGAGUAUCAGUAAAAUAUUCUCAUAAAAAACAUUGUUUUUUUUAUGGUUAUGAGUGUUUUACAACGAUAACAAGUUGUUUCACUUUAAAUUCUUUGUUAUCAAAAAAAUCAUUAAAAGCUAAUUUUAAAGAUUUUUUAAAAUUGGAUAAAAUUUUCCCGUAAAAAGGAAUAACCUAAACAAUUUUAAAAAAUUAAAAUUGGUUUGAUUUUUUUUGAAACCCAAAGGAAAAAAAAACGAAAUUAACUUGAUCUCAAAUCAGAUAAGAGUACCCGCUGAACCUAAGCAUAUCAAUAAGCGGAGGAAAAGAAACUAACUAGGAUUCCCUCAGUAACGGCGAGUGAAGCGGGAAGAGCUCAAAUUUGAAAUCUUCAAGGUUUUACCUUGACGAAUUGUAGUUUAAAGAAGUGUUUUCUGUUGGAGUUUUGGUAAAAGUUCUUUGGAAAAGGACAUCAUAGAGGGUGAGAAUCCCGUAUUUGACCAUUAUCUCCAGCUUUGUGAUACACUUUCAAAGAGUCGGAUUGUUUGGGAAUGCAGUCCAAAAUGGGUGGUAAAUUUCAUCUAAAGCUAAAUACUGGCGAGAGACCGAUAGCGAACAAGUACCGUGAGGGAAAGAUGAAAAGAACUUUGAAAAGAGAGUUAAACAGUACGUGAAAUUGUCAAAAGGGAAGCGUUUGACACCAGUGUUGUUUUCUCGAAAAUCAAUUAAAAAAGGCCGGAUUUUGUGUUGUAUUGACUUUAUCAGCUUUCUGCACUCUUUUCUUGUCUUUUUUAAUGCACUUUUCGUUUAACAAGUCAACAUCAAUUUCUUUUGUUGUAAAAGGGUCAUUGGAAGGUGGCUUUCUUUUCGGAGAAAGUGUUUAUAGCCUUUGGCCUCUGCAAUCGGAGAGAUUGAGGUCUGCAGCGUAGAUCCUUCGGGGUUAGAUACAUUUGUGCUAAGUUAUAGCCUUUCAUAGACAACUUGUUGACUAUGAUCAGUCAUGUAGCUUACUCGCUUAUGCUAUUUUACCUACGCUUAGGAUGUUG
rnacentral:misc_RNA from 1 species